rnacentral:tRNA from 1 species
GGAACGUAGUAUAAUGGUAAUACGAAUGACUUUGGAUCAUUAGUUGUAAGUUCGAUUCUUACCGUUCCCGCCA